rnacentral:rRNA from 1 species
GAUGAACGCUGGCGGCGUGCCUAAUACAUGCAAGUCGAGCGAACAGACGAGGAGCUUGCUCCUCUGACGUUAGCGGCGGACGGGUGAGUAACACGUGGAUAACCUACCUAUAAGACUGGGAUAACUUCGGGAAACCGGAGCUAAUACCGGAUAAUAUAUUGAACCGCAUGGUUCAAUAGUGAAAGACGGUUUUGCUGUCACUUAUAGCUGGAUCCGCGCCGCAUUAGCUAGUUGGUAAGGUAACGGCUUACCAAGGCGACGAUGCGUAGCCGACCUGAGAGGGUGAUCGGACACACUGGAACUGAGACACGGUCCAGACUCCGACGGUAGGCAGCAGUAGGGAAUCUUACGAAAUGGGCGAAAGCGUGACGGAGCAAAGCCGCGUGAGUGAUGAAGGUCUUCGGAUCGUAAAACUCUGUUAGUAGGGAAGAACAAAUGUGUAAGUAACUAUGCACGUCUUGACGGUACCUAAUCAGAAAGCCACGGCUAACUACGUG